rnacentral:lncRNA from 1 species
AAUAACAAAGGGGUUACACGUUUAACCCAACUUUUCAAAAGCUGAAGUAUUCUAAUUAAUUUCAAAUUUCUAAUAUAAAAUCCCAAUAUUAUUACAGAGUUUGGAGUACAUUUAAAAUAAGUAGAAAAUUGGAAUAAGCUGUUUAACUUCAAAUUUCUAAUAUUAAAUCCCAAUAUUAUUACAGAAUUUGGAGUACAUUUAAAAUAAGUUGAAAAUUGGAAUAAGCCGUAAAAACAGCAGUCUAAAGUAGCAAAUCUUCAAGGACUUCUUCAAAGCUAAUGGUUGAAAUUCACACCCCAAUUUUAGCCUCCAAAGCUGGCGCCGCCCUCCCUUCACUCAAUGUCCACUCACCUUUUGCAAACCUGCAAAACCAAUUCACAAUUUAAAAAAAAACAGCUUAUCCAAAUAAGCACUUUAAAAACUAGAAAAUAAAGGAUGGGACAAACAGAUUAGCUCUUUACACAACAAACCAAGAAGAACGUUCAAAGAUCACAUUCCAAUAUCCAAACCUACAACCUUAAAUCCAUAAGAUUAAGAAUAUCCAAACCUACAACCUUAAAUCCAUAAGAUUAAUCAUCCCACAAAAUCUGGAGAAAGGAUAGCUUGGCAAGUUAUCUUAUAACCAACAAUGAGCAUAUAUAAACAAGAAAAAAUUAAUUAACAAGACACGUUCUAAAAAACUCAGAGAAAUUGCUAAAAAUAUUUCUCUCUGUUAAAACCACAAACAAAAGAACAAGGCAUAGGUUUUUCGACAGAUUCAACAGGAUAACCAAAUAUUUCUCAACUCAAUCAAAGAUUUUUUCUUUGUUAAACCUAAACCAAAUAGAAGAAACUUUUUUUUCCAGAGAACAAUCAAACAAUAAUCCAUAAAAAGCUCUAAACCCUAAGACAUCAAGCCAAUCAACAACAACACUCAAAGCAAAAAUAAAAGAAAGCAAAAAAUAGAAGAAGAUGGAGAACUUAUCUUAAACCGUGGGGAGCUUCGCCGGAGUUGGAUUUCAAACAAGUAAUUUUUUCCUCCUUCGUUAAAGUCUUUGCAUCAUCAUCAUUUACGCCUCUUCAUACUGGAUGAGAUCUUUCUUUUAAUUUCUUCAAAACUUUGUUGUAGAACUUCAGAUCUUGAAUCUAGGGUUAGGUUUUGGGUGUUUAAGUUUUUGGUUAAGGUUAAGAACGAAUCAAGCUACGUUUGGCCAUAUGAGAAGGAGAGUUUAGGGUUAGUUUUG